rnacentral:rRNA from 1 species
UGUCUAGCUUGCUAGAUGAUGUCGAGUGGCGGACGGGUGAGUAAUACUUAGGAACAUGCCUUUGGGUGGGGGAUAACUAUUGGAAACGAUAGCUAAUACCGCAUGACGUCUACGGACCAAAGGGGGCUUCGGCUCCCGCCCAGAGAGUGGCCUAAGCGAGAUUAGCUUGUUGGUGAGGUAAAGGCUCACCAAGGCGACGAUCUCUAGCUGUUCUGAGAGGAAGAUCAGCCACACUGGGACUGAGACACGGCCCAGACUCCUACGGGAGGCAGCAGUGGGGAAUAUUGCACAAUGGGGGCAACCCUGAUGCAGCCAUGCCGCGUGUGUGAAGAAGGCCUUCGGGUUGUAAAGCACUUUCAGUUGUGAGGAAAGGUUGAUGGUUAAUACCCAUCAGCUGUGACGUUAGCAACAGAAGAAGCACCGGCUAACUCCGUGCCAGCAGCCGCGGUAAUACGGAGGGUGCGAGCGUUAAUCGGAAUUACUGGGCGUAAAGCGCACGCAGGCGGUUAUAUAAGCUAGAUGUGAAAGCCCCGGGCUCAACCUGGGAAUAGCAUUUAGAACUGUAUGACUAGAGUCUUGGAGAGGGGAGUGGAAUUCCAGGUGUAGCG